rnacentral:rRNA from 1 species
AGAGUUUGAUUAUGGCUCAGGAUGAACGCUAGCUACAGGCUUAACACAUGCGAGUCGAGGGGCAGCAUGAUCGAAGCUUGCUUUGAUUGAUGGCGACCGGCGCACGGGUGAGUAACGCGUAUCCAACCUUCCCUAUAGUAGAGAAUAGCCCGGCGAAAGUCGGAUUAAUGCUCUAUGUUGUAUUUAGAGGACAUCUGAAGAAUACCAAAGGUUUACCGCUAUAGGAUGGGGAUGCGUCUGAUUAGGUUGUUGGCGGGGUAACGGCCCACCAAGCCGACGAUCAGUAGGGGUUCUGAGAGGAAGGUCCCCCACAUUGGAACUGAGACACGGUCCAAACUCCUACGGGAGGCAGCAGUGAGGAAUAUUGGUCAAUGGACGGAAGUCUGAACCAGCCAAGUAAGCGUGCAGGAUGACGGCCCUAUGGGUUGUAAACUGCUUUUAUAUAGGGAUAAAGUCGGGGACGUGUCCCCGUUUGUAGGUACUAUAUGAAUAAGGACCGGCUAAUUCCGUGCCAGCAGCGGC